AACACGUUUUAAAAACCUUGUGGGGAAUCCCGAAAGGAAAAUCUCAAAGAGGACAAUAUCUGCUAGUGGUGCGCUUGGGCUGCUGCCGUGGUCCUAUUAAUAACGAGAUACUUCUGUCUUGAAAUCGAAGUUAGUGACUAAGUUUGACAAUUCUCCCACUUAAGCAUUCUUGUGGUGUUUCAAUGCAGUUUCUCUCCAAUCACCUUCAGCUUUAACUACAUUAUCCUUUUAGUGUUGCCAUGUUCCAGCCAUGGUUGAUGGAGCUCCGAUACCAAGUAUAUGCAACUCAAUUUUUUAUUACUGCUGAUCUAUUAUUUCCUUUGGAUUAAAAAGACUGAUACCAUUGUUUGAACUUAAUAGGCAUCAAGCUAGGGUUGUAGUAGUUAAUAUGAUGUUUAAUCUGGCUAUAGGCUAUCUUAUCAAGAACAAAAAAUCUGGCUACUGACUACAAUAGGUAGCUAGUAACCAUGCUGUCGUAAGUUUUUCCUACUUCACGGUUCAUCUUGAAUUUCUACACAUUUUAGCUGACUACAAUUUGUAGCUAGCAUAAUUAUGCUUUGGAUCUUUCCUUUCCUUUUUAGAGAAAGUGUAUGGCUGCAGGCUACAACAUUUCUAUUCUGUCAAGUUCCCUAUUUCUAAGCUUGUUAGGUGAUUGUGAUUAUGUUUUUUGCGGACAUUGUUUGCAAGUACUUAAUCUCUGCAUACAUGUUUUUUUUUUUUUGGUUCAAUUUAGUAUCAAAUUGUAGCAGCAAUCAUAUUAAUGUGGUUCCUUCCUAGAGUUUGCUUUCAAUUAUUAUUAUUAUUUUUUUCUUUAUGUUUUAUAAUCUUGGAAGGAUGAAUUGCAUUAGGGUUAAUCUCUUUCGUCGGUACAAGUACCAUCAAGUGUUGCAACUCUUUUCGAAAGAAAAGUUCAAAAACUUUCAUUGGGCUAAAAUCGGUACAGAAGGAUCACAAGUUGGAAAUUUCUGUUUAUAGAAGCAAAGAGGUUGGUGGUCUCUGUCUUGAAAACUUGAAAAAAAGGAACAUUGCUUUUGUAACCAAGUGGAAUUGGAUUUUUUCUUAGAGAAAACUUGCUAUGGAGAUUCCUAGUGGAUGGAGCUCACAAGGAAAACAUCAGUAAAAGAAGCCCAUUCCAUGGAAUUUCAUAAACAAAAUGCAGAUAGCCCGUGGAAAAAUAUCUUGAUUCCAAGGUCGGAGAUAGGAGCAAAGUGCUAUUUGGGUAACACAAAAUGGCUAUGGGGAAUAUCCUCGUAAGGAGGAGAGAUUCUUGACAAUCUACCUGGUGAAGACAUGAAAUUGUGUAAGAUUAGAAACUGCAGGAAGGAAGAGAACAAAUGUGUGAUGCCUGAAUUCUAGAAGAGUCUUGAACGACAGAGAACUGACGACUGGUUGUAACUUUAUUCUAGAAAUUCCAUCUUUGCUCACAAGAAGAUUCAUUAAUCUUGAAAGGAGAUCCGUUGAGAAUUUUUGCCACAAAAUCAAUUUUCCAUAUUAUCACACAGAAACAAAUUCCCAGCCAAUUCUCCUAUGGUUGCUGUUUGAAGCAAUCAAAAGUUUAAAUCUCCUAAAGAAUUUAAAACUCUUUUGUUUGGAAUUUGGCUCUUGGAGGCGGUAAAAGAAAUUUCCGUGUGUACCUCCACCCUAGCAUAUGCAGCCUCUUUGAAAAAGAAGAGGAAAAUGGUUACCAUUUCUAUUUUGACUUUGAUUAUAAUCAGAAGCCUCUUUUCAAGUGUGAAAGCUCUUGCUAUUUGGGUGAUAGGAGCAAAGGAUAUCCUUUGGCUGACAUGAUGAGAGAAAUUUUUAGAAUCUUUUUUAUAAGAAAAAUUGAGAGGAAACAUGUGAGUUACCUUACUUGAACACCUCAACAUGGUUCACUCUUUCCAUUCUUUAUUAAUUUUAAUUCUUUUGUUAUUAACAUUAAAUGAAUAGGUUUUUCCUUUGUUUUCCUUUUGUACUUUUUAUUUUUUCAAUGAAAAGAAGGUGGAGCCCUGCUGCUCUAAUCACCCCUGUUGCUCUAA